UGGGAAGUGUGAGAAUAAAUAUUUCUUUGUUUUGUAUUAGUUAUGAGGGAAAAAUACUUGUGCAAUAAAGUAACGAACAUCUAAAAUUGUGAUUAGACCAUUUUACUUUCUUAAUGGUUUUAAAAAGAAAUUAUCCGAUUGCCCCGACAACUGAGGCUCCUAAAAAGGUUUUGGAGAUGAAAGAACAUUUUCUCAAUUAUUCGUGUCAAUAUAUACUUUUCAGGGCAAUCAAGACACAAAGAAGACUUCAUAACUUACAGUACUGUCACAUACACUAAGUUAAAUGUAGACCCUCAUGCUAUUGCAUAAGCUUUUGUGGUGGAAAAUAAGCGUUGAAGAGAGUACUUUCAUUUUGGGACCAUCAUAAAACGUUAAGGUAGGCUACAUUAAUUUAAUUGUUUAAAAAAUACGUACAUGCUAAACUUAAUUUCUUAAAUAUUAUUUGUGGGACUAAGACCCUUUGUUUAUAAUUAAUAAGGUAUGCAAUAUCUUUUUUUUUUUUAUGUUUAAUUUUUUCAUUAAUAUUACGGAAAAUGGUGAACUAUGGGGCGUCAAAAUGGGAUCAACAAAUAGAAGUACAUAUUUAAAACUUCACUG
rnacentral:lncRNA from 1 species